UGGGGAAUAUUGGACAAUGGGCGAAAGCCUGAUCCAGCCAUGCCGCGUGUGUGAAGAAGGUCUUCGGAUUGUAAAGCACUUUAAGUUGGGAGGAAGGGCAGUAAGCGAAUACCUUGCUGUUUUGACGUUACCGACAGAAUAAGCACCGGCUAACUCUGUGCCAGCAGCCGCGGUAAUACAGAGGGUGCAAGCGUUAAUCGGAAUUACUGGGCGUAAAGCGCGCGUAGGUGGUUCGUUAAGUUGAAUGUGAAAGCCCCGGGCUCAACCUGGGAACUGCAUCCAAAACUGGCGAGCUAGAGUAGGGCAGAGGGUGGUGGAAUUUCCUGUGUAGCGGUGAAAUGCGUAGAGAUAGGAAGGAACACCAGUGGCGAAGGCGACCAACUGGGCUCAUACUGACACUGAGGUGCGAAAGCGUGGGGAGCAAACAGG
rnacentral:rRNA from 1 species